rnacentral:lncRNA from 1 species
UAGAAGAAUUAUAGGUGAAGGGUAAAUGGCUCCUCAGUGUUCUAUUUUCCCAGCUUUUCUGUAGGUUUGAAGUUUUGCAAGACAAAAACUUGGACAGAAUAAACAAUAAAUAAUAAAAACAAAUGAACAAAAAGUUUUGUUCCAGAUCACAUUUUCUGUGAAGCCUUUUAUGAUAUCACCUCUACAGCCUCCAGUCCCUGAACACACACACAUAAGACAAUGAAUCCCCCUCUCUUCUGGACUCUUUUAUGAUUAUCUGUCUCUCUGACCAAACUAUAAGCUCUUUGAUAUCUGAACCUGUGUGAGUUGUGUUGAAUCUACACAAUGCUAGAUAUUUGGACCUGUGUGUGUCAUGUUGAAUCUACACAAAUGCUAGAACCAUACCAGACACUGUAGCUGACAUGGAUGCUCAGCUGAUGCUUUUUUUAGAUUAAUCAAGUUAAGUCUUGAGGCUUGGAUAGGAUUCAGUAGGCAGACAGGAGCAAGAAAGGGUUUCCUUUUUUUUUUCUUUUUAAGAAAGGUUUUCCAAGAGAGAGGAAUGAUGUGAGCAAAGGUAAGGAAGCAGAAAUGUAUAUUUUGUAUUUGCCAAGAACAUUUGAUUUGUUUGGUCUGAACUAAAGAUUUAUGUGGGUGAAAAUGCCAGGCACACAAUACAUUCUCAAUAAAAAUUUGGAGAAUGAAUGAAUGAGAUUUGAAAGGCAGUUUUAGAUCAGAUUGGAAAGGGCCUUGACUAUUGAAUUAAGAGAUCUGAACUGUAACUAGUUCUUAACAUCCAGGGUCUUUUCCCAGUGGCAGGAAGUGAGUGUGUCCUUGGGAAGCCCCUUAUAUAUUUUCUUCCCUAAAUAAUAAGGAAACGUUGGGGCAUCUGGCUGGCUCAGUUGGGGGAACAUGGGACUCUUCAUCUUGGGGUCAUGUGUUCAAGCUCCAUAUUGGCUGUAAAGAUUACUUAAAAAUAAAUUCUUUUUUAAAAACAAAAAAAAAAAAAAAAAAAAAGAAUGGAAGAAGUGUUUCAGAGAAAGUAAUUAAACAUGAAAUAUAAUCUAUAUGAAACUAGUUUGUUAGUUUAGUUACUGGUCUCAGGGGAACAAUUUAAAACCAUAUCUGUGUGCAAAAUCAGUUGGGAUUUCUAUAGCUUCUCACUGAAUACUGCUAGGAUUACUGAGUCAGCACUGAAUUGUCUUCCUUCUACUUUGAAAUCCAAGUUAAAUGUAUCUUGUCUAUUGGCUAUGUAAUUAUAGACAAGAGUCCACAUUUAUAAAGGAAACCUUGUUACCGUAUGUCCAUUAAUUGCUAUUUU